CAGUCGCCGCGGGAAUACAGAGGGUGCGAGCGUUAAUCGGAUUUACUGGGCGUAAAGCGUGCGUAGGCGGCUUCUUAAGUCGGAUGUGAAAUCCCUGAGCUUAACUUAGGAAUUGCAUUCGAUACUGGGAAGCUAGAGUAUGGGAGAGGAUGGUAGAAUUCCAGGUGUAGCGGUGAAAUGCGUAGAGAUCUGGAGGAAUACCGAUGGCGAAGGCAGCCAUCUGGCCUAAUACUGACGCUGAGGUACGAAAGCAUGGUGAGCAAACAGGAUUAGAUACCCCCGUAGUCCCUGUCUCUUAUAC
rnacentral:rRNA from 1 species